CAGAUGUUUUCUGUUGUUCUGAAGAGAACAGUGGAAGUCAGAUGUGUGCUGUUGUUCUGAAGAGAACAGUGGAUGUCAGAUGUGUGCUGUUGUUCUGAAGAGAACAGUGGAAGUCAGAUGUUUUCUGUUGUUCUGAAGAGAACAGUGGAAGUCAGAUGUGUGCUGUUGUUCUGAAGAGAACAGUGGAUGUCAGAUGUGUGCUGUUGUUCUGAAGAGAACAGUGGAAGUCAGAUGAGACCAAUACAGAUGUUCUGAAGUCAGAUGUUUUCUGUUGUUCUGAAGAGAACAGUGGAAGUCAGAUGUGUGCUGUUGUUCUGAAG